rnacentral:rRNA from 1 species
UACAGAGGGGGCAAGCGUUGUUCGGAAUUACUGGGCGUAAAGGGCGCGUAGGCGGCCUUCUAAGUCGAACGUGAAAUCCCCGGGCUCAACCCGGGAACUGCGUCCGAGACUGAAAGGCUAGAAUCCGGGAGAGGGAUGUGGAAUUCCAGGUGUAGCGGUGAAAUGCGUAGAUAUCUGGAGAAACAUCGGUGGCGAAGGCGGCAUCCUGGACCGGUAUUGACGCUGAGGCGCGAAAGCCAGGGGAGCAAACGGG